ACCAACAAGUGGUUUAACAGCAUCCACACUUGUGCAUAUUAUGGAGAGAUUUCAGAAUGAAUUCUUCUCAAUGGGGAUAAUAACAAAUGU